CCCUGGGUGGUGGAAAUGGUUAACACAUUUGAUUGGUAACCAAAAGUUUGGUGAUUCAGUUCCACCCAGAGGUG
rnacentral:tRNA from 1 species